CAAAAAUACCCACACUACAAAUUUUUCGAAGAGGCACCAAAGAGACUUCUGGGUAGAUGCCUUAUCCUACAAAUGCACAUACGAUGCGCUGCGCUGCCAGCUUGAAGAGACAUGUCGCUACAAAAGUUCUUCCUCAAGAAUUGCACCGUUGACUCUGUACAUUUAUGAUCUGAUGAUCAAUUGGAUGUCGAGACCAUGUAUAGAAGGAAAAUACUAUCUUCACAUAAUCAGGUGUCUUUGUUCCGAUUGAUUGCAUCAUGAGGUAGGGAAUGAGAAAUAUUUCAAAUUGGAGACUCGCACUUUAUUUAGUAUCUAUCAACCGUGUGAUGCCUAAAGAUGUGAGAGGCUUCCUCAAUUGCUGGCAGGUACAGAAAAUUGAAAGAAGAAAGAGGUAAAGUCACUUAUCAAGUUACAAUACCUUUGCUGUAAAAUGUAGAUGCAUAUAAAACGUUACACUCUUGAAUCUUGAUGUAGGAGCAAUACAUUGGAAAUGCAUAAUUUCUUUUGGAUUUUUUUGCUGGGAUCAUGUUCUAAUCUUUUGUACUUUUGUAAUACCUUCUUGGUCCUAUAAUUACUAAAAUAAAUAAAACUUAUAUAUGAGCAAGUUUGAAAUUAGUUUACUUAUUCAUUAAUGAUCAGAAACAUUUAUUAAAUGAUAGAAUUAAAUGUAUUUAAUACAAUUAAAUAAUGUAAUGCUUAAUUGAAAAUUUUAAGGAUGAUCCUUAAAUUGUGAACUUAUGGGGCGAACCAGCAUAGAAAGAUGGUAAAUGCUAUAAAAAUUGAUCAACAAAAGACCUGUUAUAGCGCUAUGAUUUUAGAGAUACAACACACAAAGAUAGUAUAUCAAAAACAUUUACUAUAUUUAUAAAAAAGUUAUCUUUUAAAUUAUACUUUACCUUUUGUGAAGCUUUCGAGGGGAAUAUCGUAAUAUUUGCUAUAAUUGUUAGUAAUAUUGAUAAAUUCAAUGUUUAGAAAAACAACAACUUCCAAAAUAAUAAUAUACAACUUGCAAGAGAUGCAACAACAAAGUGAACUUUUUAACUUUUUUUUUUUUGGGGUCCAAAGGUCAUAUAUUAUACUCUAAACUAAAGUGGUACAGGGGGCCCCAUCUAUUACAAGGUCGUGUUGCCUAUUGCUAUGGGAGGAUUGACUCAAAGUGGAGUCAUUACAAAAGGAGUGUAGCAUGGGGACUGCUAUGUCACAAAAAGGGGUAGCAACGGCCACUGUGAUGUUAUUUGUAGUUGCGAUGUUAUGAUGUAUAUAGAGUCAAUAUCUCAAAGGAUUAUAUUAUCUUUUCAUUUAAUUGUUACGAAAUAUAUCAAGUAAGGCAGUUGUAUGGUUUCAGUAAAUUAUACAUUCAAAAUAACAUACUAUGUCUUUUGGUAAAGAAAGAAGAACUCAAAAUUAUCACAGACAGGCAUUGAGUAAGGAAAAAUCUUUCACAUUUCUUGUCAAAAUUGACAUAAAAAUGGAGGAGAUCAACUUGGAAGAUG